rnacentral:rRNA from 1 species
GACGUGCUAAUCUGCGAUAAGCGUCGGUAAGGUGAUAUGAACCGUUAUAACCGGCGAUUUCCGAAUGGGGAAACCCAGUGUGAUUCGUCACACUAUCAUUAACUGAAUCCAUAGGUUAAUGAGGCGAACCGGGGGAACUGAAACAUCUAAGUACCCCGAGGAAAAGAAAUCAACCGAGAUUCCCCCAGUAGCGGCGAGCGAACGGGGAGCAGCCCAGAGCCUGAAUCAGUGUGUGUGUUAGUGGAAGCGUCUGGAAAGGCGUGCGAUACAGGGUGACAGCCCCGUACACAAAAAUGCACAUACUGUGAGCUCGAUGAGUAGGGCGGGACACGUGGUAUCCUGUCUGAAUAUGGGGGGACCAUCCUCCAAGGCUAAAUACUCCUGACUGACCGAUAGUGAACCAGUACCGUGAGGGAAAGGCGAAAAGAACCCCGGCGAGGGGAGUGAAAAAGAACCUGAAACCGUGUACGUACAAGCAGUGGGAGCACGCUUAGGCGUGUGACUGCGUACCUUUUGUAUAAUGGGUCAGCGACUUAUAUUCUGUAGCAAGGUUAACCGAAUAGGGGAGCCGAAGGGAAACCGAGUCUUAACUGGGCGUUAAGUUGCAGGGUAUAGACCCGAAACCCGGUGAUCUAGCCAUGGGCAGGUUGAAGGUUGGGUAACACUAACUGGAGGACCGAACCGACUAAUGUUGAAAAAUUAGCGGAUGACUUGUGGCUGGGGGUGAAAGGCCAAUCAAACCGGGAGAUAGCUGGUUCUCCCCGAAAGCUAUUUAGGUAGCGCCUCGUGAAUUCAUCUCCGGGGGUAGAGCACUGUUUCGGCAAGGGGGUCAUCCCGACUUACCAACCCGAUGCAAACUGCGAAUACCGGAGAAUGUUAUCACGGGAGACAC